rnacentral:tRNA from 1 species
GGGCCCAUAGCUCAGUUGGUUAGAGCAGCGGACUCAUAAUCCGUCGGUCGUAGGUUCGAGUCCUACUGGGCCCA